GAGUGUUCAUUGUGGUGAUCAGAUGGCACCCAGGAGAAAUGGAGCCCCCUGUCCAGUGUGAGUCAUAGCAGUGCAGGAGGGGAGAUCCUGAAGGAGAGAGCCUGCCUAAAUUGCUGUCUGCAGAUGGAAUUUCCAGAGGCUUAGGAGGUGGAAGUUCUCCA
rfam:Ailuropoda melanoleuca scaffold532_95, whole genome shotgun sequence.